GAGUUCAGAAGUGUGCUCUUCCUAUCGUGACCUGAGCCGAAGCCGGACGCUUCACCGACAGAGCCCCGCAGGCGCCCCAGAGAACCCCAAAAUCUUCAAGUCGCACAAUCUCAUAGCAACCAAGCUGCACCCCCAUUCACUCUGCAUAUCUUUGUCCUCACGGGCCGCCAUAAGGAAUUUCCACAGACCGGGCGGCUUAAACAACAGAAACUCAUUUUCUCACAGUGCUGGAGGCCGGUAGUCUAAGACCAAGGUGCCGGCCAAUCGGGUCUGUGGCAAGAGCUGUCUUCCUGGCCUGCGGGCAGCUGCCAUCUGGCCAUGUCCUCAUGUGGCCCUUCCUUACUGCACGUGCACGGACAUGAAGAGAGCCAGUGGCUCUCUGGCAUCUGUUCUUGUAAAACCACUCACCCUAUCCGAUCAGGGCCCCCACUCAUGACCACAUGUAAACUGAUUGCCUCCCCAAAGCCCAUCUCUAGAUACAGCCACACUGGGGUCAGGGCUUCAACAUGAAUUGGGGGGAGGGUGGCAGGGGGACACAAUUCAGUCGGAUGAGGUUUUUGGGGUGAUAGUGGGGCUCAGGGGGUCCAGAGACGACGGCCAAGAACGAAUUCUUAAAGAUGUCUCUGGUGCAAAAAGGUGAUUUUAUUUGGGGCGCCUGGGUGGUGCAG